rnacentral:rRNA from 1 species
AUUGAACGCUGGCGGCAGGCCUAACACAUGAAAGUCGAACGAGUGGCGGACGGGUGAGUAAUGUCUGGGAAACUGCCUGAUGGAGGGGGAUAACUACUGGAAAAGGUAGAUAAUACCGCAUACCAUCGGAUGUGCCCAGAUGGGAUUAGCUAGUAGGUGGGGUAAAGGCUCACCUAGGCGACUAUCCCUAGCUGGUCUGAGAGGAUGAACGGCCACACUGGAACUGAGACAAGGUCCAGACUCCUACGGUAGGCAGCACUGGGGAAGAUUUCACAAGGGGCGCAAUCCUGAUUCAGCCAUGCCGCGUGUAUUAAGAAGGCCUUCGGGUUGUAAAGUACUUUCAGCGGGUAGGCGUUACCCGCAGAAGAAGCACCGGCUAACUCCGUGCCAGCAGCCGCGGUAAUUC